UAUGUACUCAGGUGAAUAUAAUGUUUUUGAUGUUACUCUGAGUGUGUAUCCACACCGGGCAGGCUGAAAAGUUAGCCUGACCAAUGUGGGAAUCGAACCCGCGACCUUUGGGAUACUAGUCCAAUGCUCUACCAACUGAGCUACGAGGCCAAGUCUGUUCGAGUGUGUGGUAUUUCUGAACUAAGUUUAGUACCUUCGAUACCAAUGUGUUCUAUGAUCAUGAAAACAGUUUUACUUGUAUAAUCUUACAGGUAGUUCACGUCGUUGAAUCAAUCCACAGCUUUCUGGUAUUCUUGUUCAUUCCACUUUAGACGUUUUUGCUUAAAUUCCCGUUUUGUGUUUUGUUGGCG